CUUAGCAUGCAUAUAAAACUCCCUUUUUUUUUUUAUAAGUAGAAGAUUACCUCAACAAUGUGACGAACAUCACAAGAAGCAUGGAUUUGGCCUGUAUUAACAUAUGACUGAGCAUUCUCUUCAAUAUUCUCCAACCUGCAAUUACACAGUUCAAUAUAUUUCUAGUUGUUCGAGGUAAAAAUGUUCCUAAUUAAGUUGAACAGAAACAUUCCGUCCACUAAAUCCUACAAGGAAAUAGUCUUUUAUCUAAAAAAGAAACCUUAAGAAGAAUAUAAUAACCACAUUAACAGAUGGUCAAAAGAAAUAGUCUUUUAUUUAAAUAAUGAUGGUCAAAAGAAACCUUAAGUAGAUAUAGAUAGAUAUUAGUCAAAGAUUUCCCUUGUGUUCAUAGAAUCAUUAUAAACAAAUUUUCUCCUCUUCUAGUCACAGAAAACUUUAUAGGGCAAUCUCAUGAAGACAAGGAACCAGAUGCACAAGUCUCCAACAAUUUGAAAAGCUUGCAAAAGGAAAAGGGGUGGAGGACGGAAAAGAGAACUGAGCUAUAAAUUGGUAUGCUCCCAUUCAAAUGCGUGGCAUAUGAAAUUACUAAGAAAUAAAGACUAAUAAGCAUUUACAGAGCUUCACAGUUGCUCCACUUCAACAUAUGGUUCUAUGUUGUUAAAGAACUAGUGUACAAGUGAGGUUGUCCAAGAUUGGUGAAUCUCCUGCUUAUGCGUGUGAAGGCCUCUCUUUUUUUCUACACAGAAGAUGUAAUGAGAAAGCAGAAUUGGUUCAAAGAAGAUAAAGUCAAAGCAUUAUAAUAAGGUAGACACUAUGUGAUCCCAGAAUUGUCCAAUGUCCAUGUUGAAUUUUUCACUUCAACUCAAAAGAUUAGAGCCACCAAAAUUCAUGAUGACUAAUUUGUGAGUUUUUUUGGGUUAUUUAUAUGGGAAAAGAUUAAGAGCUCACUUACUUUCAACUUGUGAAAAUCCACUAUUUCUUAUUUUUACAGCCCUGGGUGAACAAAUUUGUCUUCCUAUAAAAUUUAACUAUUUUUUACUUUGGUGUUUCCCAUCUUAGAUAUAAGGAUAUUUCACAAAGUUUGUAAAA